AUUGAACGCUGGCGGCAUGCUUUACACAUGCAAGUCGAGCGGCAGCGCGGGGCAACCUGGCGGCGAGCGGCGAACGGGUGAGUAAUGCAUCGGAACAUGUCCAUAUCGUGGGGGAUAGCCCGGCGAAAGCCGGAUUAAUACCGCAUACGCCCGAGAGGGGAAAGCAGGGGACCGCAAGGCCUUGCGCGAUUGGGUUGGCCGAUGUCCGAUUAGCUUGUUGGUGAGGUAAAGGCUUACCAAGGCGAUGAUCGGUAGCUGGUCUGAGAGGAUGAUCAGCCACACUGGGACUGAGACACGGCCCAGACUCCUACGGGAGGCAGCAGUGGGGAAUUUUGGACAAUGGGGGCAACCCUGAUCCAGCCAUUCCGCGUGAGUGAAGAAGGCCUUCGGGUUGUAAAGCUCUUUUGUCCGGAGCGAAACGGUCGUGGUGAAUAUCCGCGACUACUGACGGUACCGGAAGAAUAAGCACCGGCUAACUACGUGCCAG
rnacentral:rRNA from 1 species